rnacentral:rRNA from 1 species
UGCUCCUACGGGGGGCAGCAGUGAGGAAUAUUGGUCAAUGGCCGCAGGGCUGAACCAGCCAAGUCGCGUGAGGGAUGACGGUCCUAUGGAUUGUAAACCUCUUUUGUCAGGGAGCAAAGGGCGCCACGUGUGGCGUUUUGCGAGUACCUGAAGAAAAAGCAUCGGCUAACUCCGUGCCAGCAGCCGCGGUAAUACGUAGGUAGCAAGCGUUAUCCGGAUUUAUUGGGUGUAAAGGGCGUGUAGGCGGGAGCGCAAGUCAGGUGUGAAAACUCAGGGCUCAACCCUGAGCCUGCAUUUGAAACUGU